CCUACGGGAGGCAGCAGUGAGGAAUAUUGGACAAUGGGCGCAAGCCUGAUCCAGCCAUGCCGCGUGCAGGAUGACGGUCCUAUGGAUUGUAAACUGCUUUUAUACAGGAAGAAACACCUCUACGUGUAGAGACUUGACGGUACUGUAAGAAUAAGGAUCGGCUAACUCCGUGCCAGCAGCCGCGGUAAUACGGAGGAUCCAAGCGUUAUCCGGAAUCAUUGGGUUUAAAGGGUCCGUAGGCGGUUUAGUAAGUCAGUGGUGAAAGCCCAUCGCUCAACGGUGGAACGGCCAUUGAUACUGCUAGACUUGAAUUAUUAGGAAGUAACUAGAAUAUGUAGUGUAGCGGUGAAAUGCUUAGAGAUUACAUGGAAUACCAAUUGCGAAGGCAGGUUACUACUAAUUGAUUGACGCUGAUGGACGAAAGCGUGGGUAGCGAACAGGAUUAGAUACCCUGGUAGUCCACGCCGUAAACGAUGGAUACUAGCUGUUGGGCGCAAGUUCAGUGGCUAAGCGAAAGUGAUAAGUAUCCCACCUGGGGAGUACGAACGCAAGUUUGAAACUCAAAGGAAUUGACGG
rnacentral:rRNA from 1 species